UAGUGUCUGAAUUCUCCACCAGAUAAUUCCCCCUUCAUUCCUCCUUAAUUCAUGAUCGGCGAGGCCCCUCUUCUACCUCCUGUAUCCGAUGACUCAGGUCCCGCUCCAACAUCCUCCAUCUCUCUCGCCAUAGCCUCCAACCUCAUCCUUGUUAACGCCUUCUUGUUCUCCGCCACACGCCUAGAUAGGGUUGUCCUCUCUUCGACAUCCUGUUUCACCAAGUCGGUAGUCAAUUCUGACUGUCCCAAUAGCUGGUGAUGCACCUUCUCCAUAGCCUCAACCUUCCCCGUUAACCUCUCCAGCGUCGCCAUCAUCUUCUCCCACCUUGUUUCUCCUUGUUUAGCUUCUAUCGUCAUUGCUUCCAAUACCAGCCUGGACCGCGCCAAAGGUUUGACAGAGGGCAUCGUGGUGAUCACCUCCUCUUUUACCUAAUACCAACCUAACUUCCUUGUGAUCACCAACCCACACCGAAGAAAGAGAACUUUGAUACCUAUGGAUCGACGUCCCGUGGCCGACGACGAGCAACCACGGCGUGAGAAUUCGUCGUCGCUGGAGAAGAAGACUUCCCUAGGUGCGCUUAGAUAAAUACAAGUUUUGGUGGAGUUUGUUCUUUAUUCCAUUUCAUAGUCUCUUCCAGAUGUGAUUAUAAAUAUUUAUAGACUCUAAUAUGAGCCUAAUGGUCUGGAUCUAUUACAAGACUUAGAACCCUGAUGGUCAACAGUAAUCCCUCUCUAAUCCUCUUCUUCUCCGACUGACUUAAUCAAAGACUAAACAUUAACAGCAUAAGUAGCAGUAGCAGGAAUACCAGGGUCGUGACAUCGUCUCCUCGGCUACGGCCUCCUGAUUCCUCCGCCGAAGGCCAGAUUGCAGCGGGCGGGGGGCAAGGGGCAGGGGGCUGCGCCUUAUCCUGUGCUCGGCGUAGGUAUCCGCCGGGCUGCCACGGAGACGGCACUACAGUAGUACGAGGUUUGAUUGACCAAAAGAUCGCUGUUCCAUUGCAACAAGGGCAGACGGCCAGUCCCAACUCCCAAUCAACCUUUUCUAUUUUCUUUGUCAAUGUUAUUUUCAGAAUGGUGAACUGGAAGAAGUGUAUGUAUGUUUCUCAGCCUGAAGGGUAUGAAGUGAAGGGAAAGGAGAAGCAUGUACUCCUAGAGCCUGAAACGUGAAGCUUGACAAAGUCUAAAGAAGUUAGGCUUCACCGAGUGUGCUUGUGAGCCAGCAGUGGUACUAGGUAUCUUUUGUUGAUGACUUAAUUGUGAUAAGAAGUGAUCCAGCAGAAAUCUCGAGGUUCAAGAUGGAGAUGACAACUCAAUUUGAGAUGAGUGAUUUGGGGUUACUGUCAUUU